CAGUCGCCGCGGGAAUACGGAGGGUGCAAGCGUUAAUCGGAAUUACUGGGCGUAAAGCGCACGCAGGCGGUUUGUUAAGUCAGAUGCGAAAUCCCCGAGCUUAACUUGGGAACUGCAUUUGAAACUGGCAAGCUAGAGUCUUGUAGAGGGGGGUAGAAUUCCAGGUGUAGCGGUGAAAUGCGUAGAGAUCUGGAGGAAUACCGGUGGCGAAGGCGGCCCCCUGGACAAAGACUGACGCUCAGGUGCGAAAGCGUGGGGAGCAAACAGGAUUAGAUACCCCUGUAGUCCCUGUCUCUUAUAC
rnacentral:rRNA from 1 species